GGUUAAGCGACUAAGCGUACACGGUGGAUGCCCUGGCAGUCAGAGGCGAUGAAGGGCGUGCUAAUCUGCGAUAAGCGCCGGUAAGGUGAUAUGAACCGUUAUAACCGGCGAUACCCGAAUGGGGAAACCCAGUGUGAUUCGUCACACUAUCAUUAACUGAAUCCAUAGGUUAAUGAGGCGAACCGGGGGAACUGAAACAUCUAAGUACCCCGA
rnacentral:rRNA from 3 species